rnacentral:lncRNA from 1 species
GCUCUGCAAAAAUAAAACAUCUGAAGUUACUUUUUCUGAACAGAAUAUAUUUUGAACUUGAUCUGUAAACUUGUUACUGCUUGUCAUAAUCUACAAAAAAUAUAACUAUAAUCAUUAUAUUAAGGGUUCCCCUUACAUGUCAAUGAUGUUUAACCCCGCCACUUUCUGUAUAUGUAUGUGCCUGUCCCAAGUCAGGAGCCUGUAAUUCAGUGGUUCUUCUUUGUUGCUUUGUUAGUUACAUAAUGAUAUUUGUUUUUUGUUCAUUUUUUGGUUUAUUAAUUCAGCCAUUAGUUUUCUUGUUUUAAUGUUUUACAUGUACAUUUGUGAUUUUGGGGCCUUCCAUACAUGUAAAUGUAGCUGAGUAUGUGAUAUUGGCUUUGCUUAUUGUUGAAGGCUGUACAGUGACCUUAAGCUGUUACUUUCUGUGAAAGUUUGUGUCUUGUGGAGAUUUGUCUCAUUGACAAUUAAUUCCACGUCUUUUUUUAGGUUGUAUCGUCUUGUUGUAGUUAUUGAUUCAUAC